rnacentral:rRNA from 1 species
AGCAGUGAGGAAUAUUGGUCAAUAGUCUAUGAUGACUGAACCAGCAACUUGGAAGAAUGAUAAACUGGACAACCUUAUAAAGUUCAGGGUAGAAUAUGAUAAACGACAAUUUAUACCUUUGAGUCUUGACCAAAUCUUGUGCCAGCAGUCGCGGUAAUACAAGGGAGACUAGUGUUAUUCAUCUUUAUUAGGUUUAAAGGGUACCUAGACAGUAUAUCCAGCUUAAUUUUUAUAGUACGGAUAAGACUAGAGUUUGAUACAAGAGGUAAAUAUUAGUACUACUAGUGUAGAGAUAAAAUUCUUUGAUACUUUUAGGACGGGUAAUGGUGAAAACGAUCCUUUAUGUAAAAACUGACGUUGAGGGACGAAGGCUUGGGUAACGAAUAGGAUUAGAUACCCUAGUAGUCCUUGCAGUAAAUUAUGAAUGCUAUGAAUUAGAGUUCUCUAUUUGAUUUAUAAAUGAAAGUGUAAGCAUUCCACCUCAAGAGUAAUGUGGCAACACUGAAACUGAAAUCAUUAGACCGUAUCUGAAAUCAGUAGUGAAGUAUGUUAUUUAAUUCGAUAACCCUCGAAAAACCUUACCACAAUUUGAAUAUUAAUUAAAUUUAAUUAAUACAAGCGUUGCACGGCUGUCUUCAGUUAAUGUCGUGAGAUAAGGUUAGAUCCGUAAAAUUAACGUAAGCCCUUUCUUUAUUUUUUUUUAUAAAGAAGUUCGUCAAGAUAUUGAUAAAUGAUAACAGGGAUUAAGACAAGUCAUCAUGACCUAAACUCAAUUGUGGGCUAUAGACGUGC